rnacentral:lncRNA from 1 species
GAGCUUUUAAAUGCUGUAAAUCAACAUGUUUUGAUUUGUAACUUACAAAUACAAUAAAUGUUUAUGGUCUAUAUCUAAAAAAGAAAAAAAUGUGGAAAAUUUUUUAUCUAACAAGGAGACCCUGCGAGUUGGGAAACACAGAUGUGAAUGAAACGUGUAGUUUGUGGAGGGGGCACUGCUCAACACACUCCUGGGGUGUUGGAUGUAGAUGGUCAUCCGGUCGGGGGAAAUUAAUCAAAAAGUGUUGUAAUCUGUUGUGGAUUGGUAUAAUUAAUUGGUUUAUUCGCUGCGAUGUGUGGCUUUGUGGUGGGAUAUCGG